rnacentral:tRNA from 2 species
GCCGGUGUGGCGCAGUCUGGCAGCGCAGGCGAUUUGUAAUCGUCAGGUCGGGGGUUCAAAUCCCUCCACCGGCA